rnacentral:rRNA from 1 species
AUGUUCUUAAAUAAAACUGCCUUUUCUGGAUCCAUUGUCAUCAUCAUCAUGCUUCUUAGUAAAACGGGAGUGAAUUGUAUUGACAUGUCAAAUGUAAUUCGGUUGUGGAUUCUGAUCAGUCUUACGGCUACUUAUGUCAUAGGGAGUCACAGGAAAAUCCAUACAUCUAAUCUUUGUGUUCCCACUUUUUGGUCAGUCCUACUCUACCUCAACAUUCAAUGGGUUGCUCCUAUAGUGCCUAAGCCGGAAUUUAUGAGGAAGUGCAUCAAGUGGAUGGAAGGAGAGCAGAAUAAGCUGGUCUUGAAGCUAAACUCCUUUAUGUAUAGUUGCAGUAGAUCCAUUGGACAGGUGACACGAUUACAGUAUGAUGGACAACAUUCAUUCAGAAAUGGCGCAUCAAGCACUGUUAAUAAUGUGAAAGAUGACUUGGGGAAGUUGCAGACAUACCUUUUAUGGUUUGCCAUCCUUGUUGCAACUAUUACAUACCAAGCUGGGUUGCAUCUCGCCGGUGGGUUUUGGCCACUGCCUAAACCGAUUCUGAAGUAA